rnacentral:lncRNA from 1 species
UCGUCGCUUCAUUUCUUUCCACGUCGUCGCUUCUCUGUAUCAUCAGCGCAUUGGUCUUCCCUCGGACUUCUCUGUUACUUUCUUCUUCAUUUUUAUUCCCACAGUAAAAAGAAUGCGGAUGCGGAAGCAGAAGACUCCGUUGAAAAUGCCGGCUAUCGUCGAGCAGAAAAAUCUAUUUCAUCGCCCGGUAUGACGCCAUAUUUGAGGAAAUAUCUUCC